rnacentral:rRNA from 1 species
AUUGAACGCUGGCGGCAUGCUUUACACAUGCAAGUCGAACGGUAACAGGGUGCUUGCACCGCUGACGAGUGGCGAACGGGUGAGUAAUGCGUCGGAACGUGCCUAGUAGUGGGGGGUAACGCAGCGAAAGUUGUGCUAAUACCGCAUACGUACUGAGGUAGAAAGUGGGGGACCUUCGGGCCUCACGCUAUUCGAGCGGCCGAUGUCUGAGUAGCUAGUAGGUGAGGUAAAGGCUCACCUAGGCGACGAUCAGUAGCGGGUCUGAGAGGAUGAUCCGCCACACUGGGACUGAGACACGGCCCAGACUCCUACGGGAGGCAGCAGUGGGGAAUUUUGGACAAUGGGCGAAAGCCUGAUCCAGCCAUGCCGCGUGUCUGAAGAAGGCCUUCGGGUUGUAAAGGACUUUUGUCAGGGAGGAAAUCCCUAGUGCUAAUAACACUGGGGGAUGACAGUACCUGAAGAAUAAGCACCGGCUAACUACGUGCCAGCCGCCGCGGUAA